rnacentral:rRNA from 1 species
UACAGAGGGUGCGAGCGUUGUCCGGAAUCACUGGGCGUAAAGGGCGCGUAGGUGGCGGCCCAAGUCCAUGGUGAAAGCUCGAUGCUCAACAUCGAGUCGGCCACGGAUACUGGGUUGCUCGAGCACUGUAGGGGCUGAUGGAAUUCCGGGUGUAGCGGUGGAAUGCGUAGAGAUCCGGAAGAACACCGGUGGCGAAGGCGGUCUGCUGGGCAGUUGCUGACACUGAGGCGCGACAGCGUGGGGAGCAAACAGG